UCAGAGCAGCUGAUUGAGGGGAACAUGAAAACUGAGGUAGAGAGUAAUAGUCUGUAGAUGUAGUGGAAGUGAAAUCUGUAGAGGAAAAACAGUUGACAUUUUUUAAUAAAGACCAAUUGAUAAAAUUAUUUUUAAACCAAAUAAGUAGAAUGCAAUGAUAAAA